rnacentral:lncRNA from 1 species
CUGUUGUGUUUGCAGAAAGCCAUUGCAGAAUCUUUACAGCAUCAAUUUCUUCUGGUAUGGUCCUUUAGGUAUCACCAUGGUCAUUAUAAUUGGCAUUGUAUUCAGUAAAAUUAUUGGUGGAUUCCAAGACCCUUCAGCCGUGCCACGUACGCUCUUAAGCCCUAUCACCUUAAAGAUCAUGGACAGAUAUGAACCUGAAGCAGAUGAAAAGUUCUAUUUACAAAACAUGGACAGCAAUGAAACUCAAAAACUUAAUGUCAGUCACGCAUAAAUACUUAUCGAUCCUUUCAACUAUGGUCUCAUACGCCUUGGAGAAGAGGGCUGAUGUUUUAUGAUAUGGCUGGAACAUGGGUUAGGCAUUAUUUUAACAUCUAAAUAUCAUAAAUAAGGGUUUGGAAUCUGAUCUAAAGGUAAUGUCCUUCCACUAGUUUCGGAGCCAUUGAGAAAAAAAUCAUGAACACUACACUUUCUCUAAGACAUGUCAAAAACAUUUUUAAAUAGUAAAAAAAUUUUAAUAUCCU